UCAAGCAAUCUGUUAUAUAUAAGCAAGCAAUCCUGCCACGUGGCAGGUGUAAUACCUCGACUUUUUAUUCCUUUUAAUUUGUUUUUGAAAGGACGUCGUUUGUGCACAUGAAUUUUUUUUGCCCGUUGCUUCUUUUAUCGAGAGAAUGAUUUUACAGUUUGAGCUUAAACAAUUAUUUUUUUCAGUGUCCAACCAUUUUUCUUAUUCUUCUCGAGCUCAAUUCAACCCUGCCCAAUUGAUUCUCUAAUUCUGUCGUGUGUUUUUCACAAAGCUGUUACCACAAAAUCUGCAUUAGAGAAAAGAAUUCAGAUCGUAUAUUUUCCUCAAUCACACGAUCUCUCUCCACAUUCAUUCAAUUUCAGAGAAACCGUGAAUUCUCCCAUGAUCUGCAGUUACAAGUGUUCGGUUUACAUCUAGUGCCCCAUUCUCUAAAAUUGGAGAAACUCCAUCUCCUCACAGUUUGUUCGAGAGUGUCUGGUGAGAAAUCGAAAGAGGAAGUGAGAGAUAGAGACCGAGAGUGAAGGGGGUGAGACAGCAGCAAGCAGAGGGCACCACAUCAAUUAAAGGCGGUGUCUCAGUGGCUGAACGACGCGCUGACGGAGAAGGCUGGAAAAGAGAAAAAGGAGAAGAAAUUUGGGGACGAAAGAGAGAAGGUUUGGGCCUUUGUUUUAUCUAAUGUCGGGGCCGAAUGAUUAAUUUUAAGAUUUGGGCCUACUGUUUUGAUAAGGAGAUGAAUUGGAGUUAAUUAGGUUUGGGCCGGAGUACAUCAGGCGACUUUUCGAGAACGGAGCAGGAGGACAAGUAAGCUUGUGAUGGUGAAGAUUUGUGUAUUCUUCUCUCGAAUGUUUUCACCGAAUGUUGUUUCUUUUGAGUUCAUAUAUUGAUGAGAUAUUGUAUCCCUUUGGGUUGUUAAUUGUUGAGAUGAUACUCUUAUUUUACUCAAGUUAUUCUCGUUUAUUUCUAGCUAUAGUCGAGUUGUGUUGUUAUCCCCUUUCUUCCCAUCUUCUUUAACACUCCCCUAGUCACGAUCAACCGUAUUUUCUAUCCUUAGAAACUGCGGGCGUGAAUCUGCUCCUAAAUCUAAGAGUCCUCGUUGGUGGUAUGUUGUCAUUUGAAAUAGACUAAAGACCAAACGUGGUCCUGCAUUUUUAUGAUUUUGAUCCUAGAAAUUACUUUUUGAAUUUUUCGGUUCUAUACAUUUAAGCACUUUAAUUAUGAUUUUUUUAAAAUAAAAAAUAAAAAUAAAAACUCUCGUCUCUUUCAUUGUGCUUCCUUGCCGCUUCUCCUUCACCACCGCUACUACCGAAAACUGAACUCAAAACAGUAGGAGAUCGAACCUAUCCAUUUCCGUGGAGUCGCACAGAAGAAAGCACUCCAAGGCCCCUUCCUCUUCAUUCUCGCGCCGACGUUGUGCUCUCCGGAGGCGACAAAGCCAAGUUCCAGCCAGUCGAGUAUGCCGAGAUUUGAGCCAACCGGGAGCUCCGAGACACGAUGAACUGUCGGUGUCCAUUUACAAGUCUCUCGAGCCCAUUAACGGGUCGCAGCUCGACGAAGCGAAGCUCCGAUUCAACACAUUGAAAUCCAAAUUCGUUGAGAUUUUCGGCCACGUCCCUCAGAGAUCAUUGAGGGAUCACUUGGCUAUUUCAAAAGGCCAGUUGUUGCGGUACCUUCGUUGAUCUAUUUAUUAUUAAUAAUCAGAUAAUAUAAGAUUUUACACAUGUUUUACUUUACUAAGGAAUUAUGUCGUUUGCUGCAUUAUAUUCAAAGCUUAUUUUAACUGUCAACUUAAGUAGUUUUUGUAGGUGCUUUUCAUUCUGAAAAUCUAUUGCUCAAAGCCUGAAACAGAGGGAACUGAGACGCUCCCAUCACUCCAAUCUGAUAUAGCAGCUCGAGCAUAAUCAAUUGGGUGAUGAACAAGAGAUUCAAGUUCUGCCCAAGCUUGACACCAUGCUCCUUUUAGGACACACCGGAUAACUUCAAGAACGAGCAAGAAAGGGUUUAAGGGGGUAGACAAGUGGUGGCUGUCUACAAUCAAUGUUCUGCCAAACGGCCCCUCAAAAGAGUCCUCUUCAUGCACAAGUACAAGGAUCAAUGUUCAGCCAUAACUUAUCAUCUGAGAUCAAAGUGGUUGAUGUGAAGAACAGAAAUGAAGCAUCUACUAUGAUAUGGAAGAGGAAAAUGAAUCAAAUGGAUUGCAAGGCUUCAUGGUUGUAAGUACAGAGAAGAGAGCUAGGGUUGUUUAACUUUAAGGACAGGCUAGAGAUAUUCUUGAAUAUUUUGAAUUCAAAUGAAUUGUAAAACAAUGUUAUUUAAUUUAAUGUCCUUUAAAUUUAUUUACUUUAUUUAUUAUUCA